rnacentral:misc_RNA from 1 species
AAGUCGUAACAAGGUUUCCGUAGGUGAACCUGCGGAAGGAUCGUUAGUAUCCAACGUUAAACCCCCCGUGAACCUUUAUUGCGAACCACGCCUUUGUUAGAAAGUAGCAAUCCCUGGUAAAUCAUCGCCGAACAGUUUUGAUUCAGUGGAUCUCUGCGAAGAGAGCGGUUGUAGCGCGAGGUAAGUGGCCUGGCAUCCACUAGCUCUGUACGGAUGGCGCAGUCAGGACGGCCGGCGACCGGGUCACCGGGCAUAGACCCCCCUUGCGCAUGAAACGGGCCUGCGCUUAAUUGUGAACAAUGGAUAUUCUC